GAGAGGCGGAUGGCGUGGAAGAGGAACGCGGAGGAACCUGGGGAGCUUAAGCCAAGAGGGACGUGGCGCUCUGCGACGCUGGCUGGGAAGCCGCGCCCCUUCCUUCUCUAGCUUUCAUGGAGAAUCUAGCGAAGCAGAAUUUGGGCGGGAUCUCACAGAACAUCAACUGGCCAAGUUCUUCGUUGUCUUCAAAAGAGGAGAGAGGGAGGCAGGAGUAUAUACUGACAAGAGACAACUGGCCUGGCCUUAUCUGAUGUUGAUGUUCUGUGAAAUAGCUCAUAUUCAGCAGAAGACCAUCAAGUCCUACCUGUG